UAUGAAAAUAUAAAAAUCUAAAAACAUAAUUUUUUUUGGCAAACAUACUGUUCUAUUUGAAGCAUAAGUACAUAGCUAUGUCCAUUGUGUACCGUUGAUACAGACAUAGUCGACUGGUCUGGUACGAUUAGCAAAUUAUAAAAAGAAACACGGCCGAUAAAAAUUGUAUUAGGCGAAUGUAAAUGUUUGGGGUCAGGCGCGAGGCACUUCACGACACUGUUUUAAACUGAGUAGGUUGAGACAUAAUUUAACCCUACAUCAAAUUUAGUAUGUAUAGCAAUACGUUUUUCAAUAGGUUUUUCAAUAAUGGCGAAGGCAAUUUUUCAAAACUGGUACUUACGGGUUAUAUAGGAACAGCUGCUGUGUGUAGAAGCUCUACAGUUCUUCACCAGUCACCUACUUAACGAUCGAAUGCAUAAUGAAUUAUCGGCGGCGGAAGUAUUUUUUUUUUUUAAUUUAUUUUAAAUAUACAAUCGUAAUAUUUUGAUAAGUACGACGACCGGAAAGAAAGAAAGAAAGAAAACGACGACGAGGACGGUGACGAACAAAAAAAAAAAAACAAAACAACGAGUGUCGUACAAAACGGUCGUCUGUCGGAAAAAACGUUAUUUAUAUUAUUGCUACGUAUGAUCGGUUAACAAAAUAAUUAGAAAUAAAAUACAGGUACGUAUUAGAAGAAAACAAUAAGAAGAAAAAAAAAAACAUACAAAACGGUAACAACCCUACAGAACGGUUUUUUUUUUUUUUUUACAAGCGCCUCGCAAACGUUUUUUUAAAGGCAAUGCCGACGACGACCGUAGAUACGAAAUUCGAUGAAUUCAUUUUCGAAUUGAACGCACGUCCCGGAACCGCGAGUUAUUGACUAGAAUUUUCGUCCAUCGUACCGUAUUGAUUAAGGCUUAACACAAACGUGAUUAGGAACGUAGCGAGCGCGUGGACGAACGGGUAGUGGGAACGGUCCGCGCGGUCGUAGUCACACACUCGCUGGUCACUACGGGCCGCUCCGUGGGAGGCGCGCCUGCGG